CAUUAAUCUGUUUGUAUUUCUCCUCUGUGCGUGGGGUGAGGAUGAGAGCAGACUCGAGCUCCGGGCUUUCGCCGCCUUUGUUCUCCUUCUUGCUUAAUGCCUGCCAGGUCCCACAACCACAGAGACGGACGGAGGGAGACACAGAUGAAGGGACGGAGAGAUGGGGUGGUAGGAACAGAUGACAAAAACGAGGAGACGAGGACGAAGCGAGAGAAAGCAUAGGGGGGAAAAGGGAGACAGAGGAAAGAAAGCGUGGAGGGAACAUCAGAGGGAUCAGGCUGGCUUAGCUUAUUGGAAACAGAUGGCAGACCAAAGGCAAGAAGGCCACAGUUUCAUGAAGCGUGGUUUGAACAUGCCAGGACCAUGUCGAGGGGCAUGCCCAUGGAUGAUGGCUACAUGUCAUCAUCUGUGCAUCCCAAUGCACUGGUUGAGGCGACGUUUGAAGAACUAUGCAUCAAUGACUUUUCAGUGAAUUGGUGGCUUUGAAACCCCUUACUCCUGGUGCCCUGCUGCACUAUAAUCAGGAAUCAAAGGCUGGCGCCUGGGAUCCAUCAUCUCUGGCAAAGUGGUCGUGUGUUCAGUAACGCUGGCUAACUGUGUAUGUAAUUACUAGCUGUCUAGGGAUUACUUGAUUGACUAAACAUUAAAAAAAGGAGUAAAAAGUAGAGCAAAACAUUUGUGAAAAUGAUUAAGAGUAAAUAAGAGACUCUGCAAAUUAAUGUUCCUUCACAUUUCUCCAAACUGUGACAUUGUGAUGGUGCAUGUGCUAAAUUCACCAUUAAAAAGAGCCCAAUGUGGAUGAGAGCCCACUAACAGACAGACAGCCUUAGCUAGCCAGUACACGGCACAAUACCAGAUGGUGCAGUGUUUCCCAUAUGGAAUAGACAAACACUAAGCACAUGUCAGAAUCCAAUACUGUUUGCUCCAGCAGCAUCCCAGCCUUGGGAACAAAGUGGUCAUUCACACUAGUCAGUGCACUGUAUAAUUACCCAGAUAGACAUUAUGAGACACAAUGCCAGCUCAGUAAAACUGGAUAAAGAGGGCACUUAUGUCUGUACCCUCAACCUACCCAUCUUUCAUCCUGUCUGUGCUCCAGUUGCAUAAUUUGUCUCUCUUCAAAUGAGAUGAAUGGGCACGAGUCUAUAUAUUUCUGAUUCAACAUAAAAAUCAAUUCGCUAAGGCUCAAUUAUGUGUGGAAAAUACUCUCAUACUUACUUUACAUAGACGCACCGCUUUAUGAGCUGUUUAUUUCAGUUAUUCACACAUCAUUAUGUUACUGCACUGUAACAUUAACAAUAAUGCCUUCAAUUGAACAUUUGAAGUCAUUAUCAAAUAAAAACAUUAACAUCCUCAGCAAAAUCACUUCAGUUCUCUAUGCGUAAAACUUGCCAUGCUCUAUUCCUUCUUUGUCCCCCCGUCAAUCGUCACUUAUCGUCUUUUGUCUAUCUGUCUCUUAUCGCGUGGUGCCACAGCAGGAAAAGGGAGCCUGAGGGAGGCCUUGAGUAACAAUGUCCAGCCGGUUGACCUCUAUAGUGUGACCUUGAGUUUCCACACCCUGUCCAAAGCAGCAAUCAUGGCAUGGGAGGGGCCAGGGGGGAAGCUUAAGGCUGGGCAGGGAAUGCCAUCUAUAAAAAUAGCCUUCAUUAUUCUGAAUUUUCCACAAAUAGUUUCAAAGAACAAGGCAUCAUUUCAUCUUAAUGGCUGGCGUGAAUUGUUUUGGGCUGUGUAAUGGAAAAGCCUUGCCUUUUGGCAGCAUGGCCUCAGAAGUGGCCUGCCUUUUACACCGCUCCACACCACAGGGACCACAUAUUGGCACAUUUCAAACAGUCUAUUUAUAAAACCUCUUCUUGUUGUUAUGUGAAUACCUCAGACUUCCGCUUGAGUAUAUUGACCUUAAAAAACACCUCUGACGAGGAUCCAAGUGGUACUUAGUUGCUUGUCUGAGGUUCUGCUUUUCUGGGCAGCGGCCGUCUGAUGUGGAAUAUAAUGCUGAGCCUGUAGAUCACAUACUUUAUCAGUCAUCUUGCUUUUAGCCAGUCUUAAGAAGUGGAAGAGGCAUAUAGUCUAUAAAAUAGGACCUCAGUAAACUUGCUCUCUUUAUGUCUGAGGCUGGCGCCGCAGACAGAUGUGUUGUCAUGUGCCAGCUUGAAAGUUGGAGCAGACGGGUUUGUUUGUGAUAGCACUCAGGGAUUUUCACUCAUAAUAGGCAGACUGGCUGAUUAAAAUGCCCUUAACACUAUUGACAUAGAUAAUAUAACUUUCCAGAAAUGUAUUUUCUAUUUUAUGAAAUAUUUCAUAUACAACCAGACAGGAAACCUCUUGUUUGGUAAAAUAUGGGGGGUAGAAAAAACAAGUGAAUUAAAUAAUAGACUUCUUUAUCCAAGGGAUCAAAUGUUUAUAGGCACAGCGUGGUCUCAGAUCAAUGGUCUUAUGCAUGUGGUUGCCGAGGGCAAGACUUCAUGGUCGGUGCUUGGAAAGGGAGACGGAGGCUGAAUGAGUACUCUGACACUUCGCUUACUCACUCCAUAGUUUCAAAAACAACCCCCACCCACCCUCUUUCAAACACAAAGAGGGGGGAGUGAAAGAGAGAGAGAGAUAUUCCAUGCCUAUUCUUCUACCCUCUCCGAGCAAGGACCGCCAGCUAGGCGACUAUUUUUAGCUUCACCACACACUAUUUUUAGACCACUACCACUUUUUGAGGCAUUUAUUAGAAAAUAGAGUAGAUCAAACAAAAGAGUGAUAUUGGUGGUUUUUUUAUUUUGACCAUAUAAUUAUCUAAUGUGUAUGUUAAAAAGAAAAAAGAAAUGU